GGCUUGAUGGUCUAGUAGUAUGAUUCCUUGUUAGGGUUCACAAUCAUGACGGUAUUUCGAGGAGGUCCUGGGUUCAAUUCCCAGUCAAGCUC
rnacentral:tRNA from 1 species